AUGUUGAAAUUAAAUAGUGUUCAAAUUUGAUGCCAACAUCUUAAUCUCUCCAAUAUGCAUCCCUAUUUUAGAUAUGUCGGUUAUCUUUUUUUGAAUCUUCACAAUAUUCGUUUUUGUAUCCCCUUCCACAACAAUAUUUUGAAAACCCAUAUCAUUCGCAAAUUCUAAUGCUUGGAUGCAAGAUAUAGCUUUGGUAGAAAAGGCAUCUGCAACAUGAACAUUCUUUCGCACCCCACUUCCCAUUACCAGCCCUAGAUCGUUUCUGGCUACAAACCCUGAACACGGCUAAUGAAGAUCUGGUUUGAAAGCCGCAUCAAAGUUCACCUUGACUUUCAGACUUUGUGGAGGCAGCCCCUGAGAUUUCAUGGUCACCUUCUUUUUAGUUAAUUUCAGUUUAAUCUCAUCCAUUUCCCUUAUAAAGCUCUCACUUUUUGUACUAAUCUCCUGAAUUGUCUGUCUUUUUCCUUCCAUCACAUGUUGAUUACGGGCAUGCCAAAGUGCAAACAUAGUAAUCGCUAUCUUUCAACAGGGCCACAAUUCGUGAUAACGUCCACCGUUGUUUCUGGAGUAGACCCAUAUCUUGGGCAUAUUGAAGACAGAGCAAUCAUUCUAUUGUAAAGAAUAUAGGCAGUAGGGAUAAAGUCAUUUAAAAUGCGCUAGAUUGUAAUUUUAAUUUUAGAGGGUAUUUGUAUCUGCCAAAGCUUUCUAUAUUUUUCGUAGCUUCCCUGUAAAUCAUUUUUUGUAAUCUGUCGACUGAGGAGAACCCUGUAACCACUGCAGACAGAA